rnacentral:rRNA from 1 species
AGCGAACGCUGGCGGUAGGCCUAACACAUGCAAGUCGAACGGCCGCACCGUAAGUGCUUGCUCUUACGGGAGGCGAGUGGCGGACGGGUGCGGUAUACACCGGAAUCUACUUUUUCGUGGGGGCUAAUGUAGGGAAACUUACGCUAAUACCGCAUACGACCUCCGGGUGAAAGCAGGGGAUCUUCGGACCUUGUGCGAUUGAAUGAGCCGAUGUCGGAGUAGCUAGUUGGCGGGGUAAAGGCCGACCAAGUCGAAGAUCCGUAGCUGGUCUGAGCGCAUGAACAACUAGACUGGAAGUGAGACAGAGUCCAGACACCGACAGGAGGCAGCAGUGGGAAAUAUUGGACGAGGGGGGCAAGCCUGAUCCAGCCAUACCGCGUGAGUGAAGAAGGCCUUCGGGUUGUAGAACCCUUUUGUUGGGAGAGAAAAGCAACUGUUUAAUACCCCACUGUUCUGACGGUACCCGAAGAAGAAGCACCGGCUAACUUCGUG